AGUAAAGUAAGCUAAUAGAAGCUUUUGGGUUCAUACCUCAAAAAUGGAAGGAUAGAUACCUCCCUUUAUUU
rnacentral:tRNA from 1 species